rnacentral:lncRNA from 7 species
AGGAAGGACUUCACUGCUUAGAAGAGCAAUGGCACUCAGGCCCUUGCCCAACUCUUUGUCUCCCUGGAUACAAUGCCAGCAGCCACUUGGAUCACUCAGACUUACAAACUCCACCUACCAGAAUUUCCUUACACGCUGUAUGGAGUAAAGGCAAGAAAGACAGCAAGAGGCAGCAACCAUGUGUGAGAAAGGAGUGGCGAAAAGACCUUCAGGUGCUUGCGUGGCAUGCUACAUUUAUCAUAGAGGAAAGGAGCUUUUCCAUUGACACUGUGGGAUUGAGAGUGGGCCAUUGUCAACUUGUAUGCUUUCUAUGUGCUGUGAUUUGUAACUGUUUCCAAACAAAAAGCCUCCUGUCUUGCAAGAGGAUGAACUCUUCAUCUUCGUAAAGCCAAUAGGAAACACAGCAUACUUCAAGGUUCAGUCAUGUUUCAACACUAUUUAUUUUUUUAUUCAUGCUUAUAGUUGGAAUGCUUCUGGAUAGUCUCAUGUCCGAACGGAUGUCUAUAUCAUAAAAAAUUAAAGAAGGAUGAGCCCCCUGCAAGAGUUCUGGCAUGUGUAUGGAUGUCACUUAAUGACAAGAACAAAUAACCAUAGUGUGUGAAGAUCCACAUAAAGGGCUAAUAUAUGUUAAAAGUUUAUUUUUAGAAAGACUAUUAGGGAAUAUCAUUCUCAAAUAAGGAGCCAAAUAGAUGUACAUAUGGAGCUACAUGCAUCUGUGAGAGUUACAAUGGAAGUCAGUUAAAUUUUGAGACAAGCUUAUAUACUGGCUUGUUCUUAUUUGCUAUCUUAUAGGUUGAUAGUGAAGCAAAACACGUCAGCAGACAGGAGUUGGAAAGAAAAGAAGGGGCAAAUGGUGGUGGUGGUGUUUUGUUUUUUUUUUUCAUGAUAAGAUAACUAAAAUUAUACAUAACUUUAGUAUUCUCUUUUCUCCUCAAAAGUCCCUUCCGUUCCAUUUAAGGGAAGGCUAUACAACAAUUAUUUUCUAUAAAACUACCCUGUGCGUGUAUGUUGUGUACAUAGAAAGCAUACAGAGCACUAUUUUCUACAGAGUAUCAAACAUUUUUUUCCUUCCUAAAACAUCUUUACUGCAGCCUGUAACUAUGGUUUUAGUUUUGUUACGCUCUACAGACCACCCCUCAUUGAGAUGUGCUUUCCAACUCUAAGUAAUACAGGAGCAUACAGAAGGACAGUAAGGCAAAAGGAAACACGUUAGGAAAUAAUCAGGCUAAGGAGUUGCUCAUCAUGGGUCUUCAGUCAACAUAUGCUUUGCCCUGGCAGUGAUGACUUCUACAUGCAAUUGCUAUGCAAAGAUGCUAAUUUCAAAUAUGUGUGUCUAUGUAUAGAGAUAUGUUGUCUUGCACUCGCAGUCAGUAGAGCAUACAUUUGGAGAGGCCACGGUGUGUCAUUUGUCUCUUCAGCCUCCAUUACUCACACCAAAUCCCAGCUUGGCUGGAUUGAUCUUUCAAUGACAGCAGCCUUAACCUAGCUUGCCUCUGGGAAGAUCCAGUAGCAGGUAUCAUAUGGCAGGGAUCGCUGUAUCUGCCAGUCCUCUUAAGACAAUUUUAAGGUUUUAGUGAGCCCUUGGAGAGCUGGUGAUGAGGGUCUCUGUCUUUCCCUAUUUCUGCCACAGGAAGGGCUGUGCUCCACAACUCCCAGACAAAUGGGAUGUGACAUUCCCAGCUGUUCUUGGUGGCUUACUGUUGCCACUCUCCAGAUCCCCUAGAGUGGCUCAGACAGCAAUAGUCUGCUGAUACAAGCUGGUAUCAGUGAGCGGUAAGGUUAUACAAAAGCUGCAUACGGCUCUGUAGGCUUGAGUGAUUCUAAUGUAGUUGUGGUUUUGUUUGUUUUCUCCCAGUUUUAUAGAACUGAAAUGCAGUUCCAGAGGAUGUAGGCAUGGACAACAAGAAAGUGUCUCAGAAAUAAAGAAAAGUUGUCUUC